CAAAUCCUGCCAUUUUUGAGUUUUCAUCGUUUUGAGACAGAAUAGCGAUAGCAAGCAUGCUUCACUCUUGAAUUUUAGGUUUGAGUCUGUAGUCUACCGUCACUAUAAGUUAAUGAGGUUAUAUAUUUCUUGUUCACACAGGUAUGCAUGGAUUGGUUUUAUGAAUUCGACUCCAAAUCAAAUCGACCUGCGACACAAGUGACUUGGAAAAGAAUUUUCUUUGUGGCCAAAUAUCAAAACUGUGGGUCUCAAGAGUGGAAAACAGGAUGAAAAGAUUUGGAUGGCGGAGAAGCGAAAAUCAAAAAAAUAAGAACACCAUUUAUAAGGCACAGGCAGUUUUUAAUUUAUUGAGUUUAUUAUGAUUUUUUUUUUCUUUCUUUGAUAUAAAAUUCCUUUAUCUAAU